rnacentral:lncRNA from 1 species
GGCAUGCGCACAUGCGACGAAAGAAAGAUUCACACGACUCUUCGCAUUGAGAGUCCUUCUAUCAUUGGAAUUCCAUUUCAAAAGGAGGCAUCCCUUGCAAAUUUGCUUUCUUUUUGAAUCUAGAUAAUAUGUGGCAAAGUUUUACAUAAAUCUAAAAGUAGAAGAGAUGCCAAUUGCAUCUCUUUCUAGGUGCAUGCGUGUGAGAAGGAGUGAUUCGACAUAUCACACACUGAGGAGUCUUUCUGCUUGAAGACUCUCAGAUA